rnacentral:tRNA from 1 species
GGGGAUGUAGUUAAAAAUAACAUUUAAUUUGCAAUUAAAAGGUACUAAUUAGUCUUCCUCA